rnacentral:lncRNA from 1 species
AAUGUGAAGACAUUCUAGGCAGAGGGAACCGCUGGGGCCAGGUCAGACAGCUGUGAAAGGCUGCAUUUUCUGGGAACCCUACAGCUGUCCCGAAGGCUAACAAGGUGUUUUGAGGCAGGUGGAUGAAAUAAGACAAACUGCAGGGGAAUUCCCCACUUUGUGGGGAGGGAAGAGAGAUUUCCCUGAUGAGGUCAGGCUAGGACAUGAGUCGCAUGGGGCAGCCAUUUUGGAAGGAAGACAUUUGUCCACGUGGAAGCUGUAAUUCAAAAUGUGGACUUCAGCAAGAGGAAACACCUAGCUCUCUCUUGAAUCCGGGUUUCAAGAAGCACUCACCAGAUAGCUGCACAUCAGACUGCAGGUGUAUCCUCAAAACUCAGAGCAGAGUCUGGCAUAUGUUGAAUCUGAAGAUGAGGACCUCAAGAAUACAGAGGGCUGACUGCACUGACAAAACUCAGUGGAAACCUCUGGAAGAUUUGAUGGUAGAUGGUUUUAUCAUCUGCAGCUGUUCACUCCUCCACUGUGUCAGAGAGGAUUAGACAUCCCUGUUCAUUGCAGGUGACCUCACAUCACCCCCAUAAACGGGGGCAGGUUGUGCUUCCACACCUUGUUGUCAGCCCGGGCCAAUGGAAUCUGAGCAGAUGUGACUUACACCAGGAUGAGCAGAAGCUUCAAUGUGAUUGCCUGCUGUGAUGGCCAAUUUUAGGUGUCAACUUGACUGGGCUAAGGGAUGCCCAGAUAGCUGGUAAAACAUGCUUGCAGGGUGUUUCCAGAGGAGGUGAGCCUUUGAAUUGGUAGCUUUAGUAAAGAAAAUCUACCCUCAUUAUUGUGAGUGGGCAUCAUUCAAUCUGUUGAGAGCUCAAAUCGAAUAACAAAAAAAGAAGAAAUGGUGAAUUUGUUCACUCUGCUUGAGCCAGGAACUCCAUCUUCUCCUGUCCUUGGAUAUCAGAACUCUUGAGUCUCAGGCUUUCGGAAUCAGACAGGGAUUUAUAUCACCAGUCCCCUCCAACCUCCCUUCUCAGACCCUUGGACUUGGACUGAAUUACACCACUGGCUUUCCCUGUUCUCCAGUUUGUAGACAGUGGCAUAUGGGAUUUCUCACCCUCCAUAAUGGUGUGAGCCAAUUCCUAGACGAAAUCAUAUAUAUGUAUCUAUCUCUAUAUAUCAUAUCUAUAUCCA